rnacentral:lncRNA from 1 species
GUCAGGAGUUCAAGACUAGCCUGGCCAACAUGGUGAAACCCUGUCUCUACUAAAAAUACAAAAAUUAGCCGAGUGUGGUGGCAUGUGCCUGUAAUCCCAGCUACUCAAGAGGCUGAGGCAGAGAAUUGCUUGAACCUGGGAGCCAGAGUUUGCAGUGAGCAGAGAUCAUGCCACUGCACUCCACCCUGGAAGACAGAGCAAGAUUCGGUCUCAAAAAGAAAAAAACCAGCAAGUCCUUAAUGGAUAACUGCAAGUCUCAUCAACAGCAAUGCUAUUAACUGAACUGGCUCAUCAGUAAUUGACACCCAUGUCUAUCCACUUGCUCAUGCCAAGAUGUAGGUGAGUCACCCUUGAGCUUUGCCUCUCUCUCAUCCUAUUUGCCACAAUUCAUCACCAACUCCUCUCAAUUCUACUUUCCAAAUACAUCUCUAGUCCAUUCAAUCUUCCUGGUCCUCACUCUUCCCAGCCUAGUCCUGGCCUCCAUUGCCUCUCACUAGGACUUUUCCAGUGGAUGUCUAAUCACUUUUCAUACAUUCCUUUCCCAAUCCAUUCUCCAAAAGUAGCCAGAAUGAUCUCAUAAAAUGCAAGUCGGAUUAUGUCACUUACUAGCCUAAAAUCCCUUUAACUCCCAACAUUUUUUCAGGAAAAAAAUGUCAAAAUUGUUAACAAGAACCUAUACAUUUCUACAAAACCUGGCCACUACUUCUCUCUUUAACUUUUUCUUUUCUCUCACUGUCCCCCUCUCUCACUUUGCUUCUUCUCACUGGCCUACUCUCUUUUCCUCAAAUAUGCCAAUUUCACUCUUACAUCAGCCCUUUCCUACACACUGUUCUCUUCACUUGAAGCAAAUGCCACCAAUCCUAGCCCCUUUAUCUAGCUAACUCCUACUCAGUCUUCCAGCUUUUGAAUGCUUCUUUUUCGGUAGAUCUUUCCUAGCCACAGAGUUUAGUUUAAGGUCUCUAUUAUACUCUUUCAUGGCACUAAUUAUAUUUUCUUUAAGGCACUUGUAAUUGCAGUCAUACAGAUAUUUGUAUGAUUAUCAACUUAAUGCCUGCAUCUACCACUCUGCUCUAAUCAACAUGACAACAGGGACUGACUCUUUUGUUUGCCACCGUAUCCCCAAGGCUAUCACAAUAUCCAGCAUGAGUGUGUCAGCGCUUUGUUGAAUUAAUUCAUUGAUGAUGAAAUAGCCUAGUCCACAGGGGCUGAAAAACAAAAUUGAUGUCCACCUAAAACUAUUCAUGCUUUUUACAAGAAUUAUCAGGAGGCAAACAAAAUAUCCUAAUGCUUAAUGUCCAUUUUGGCCAUGGUUCUGAAAAUCCUAUAUUAUUUUGCAUGGAGUGUUUUAGCAAGGAACAGUUAAACAAGCUGAAAAUAAACAACUUUCUCACACCCAUCAGAGAACUGAAGUUUCAGGGCAAAUCAUCACCUCAAAAUCCGGAGAAAAGGAACAUCCCAGAAGAAAGAGGCCAGAUCUGUUUACCUGGUGGAAAAGCCACUGGAGCCAUAGACUGAUAUGAACACUCAAAUAGUAAUUUUGGCCAAUUACUGGGGAAUGAGGAUGGACUGGAGUGAAUGUGAGAAACACCCGGGAGCCAGUCUUGUGGGGGCUUCCACAAUACCACAGACUCCUUUCUGGUGAAG